rnacentral:rRNA from 1 species
AGCGAACGCUGGCGGCAGGCUUAACACAUGCAAGUCGAGCGGGCACUUCGGUGUCAGCGGCAGACGGGUGAGUAACACGUGGGAACGUACCCUUUGGUUCGGAAUAACGCUGGGAAACUAGCGCUAAUACCGGAUACGCCCUUUUGGGGAAAGGCUUGCUGCCGAAGGAUCGGCCCGCGUCUGAUUAGCUAGUUGGUGGGGUAAUGGCCUACCAAGGCGACGAUCAGUAGCUGGUCUGAGAGGAUGAUCAGCCACACUGGGACUGAGACACGGCCCAGACUCCUACGGGAGGCAGCAGUGGGGAAUAUUAGACAAUGGGCGCAAGCCUGAUCCAGCCAUGCCGCGUGAGUGAUGAAGGCCUUAGGGUUGUAAAGCUCUUUUGUCCGGGACGAUAAUGACGGUACCGGAAGAAUAAGCCCCGGCUAACUUCGUG